GUAGAGGUAUUACAGUGUACAUUACAAUAAUACCUGACGAUAAGCAAAUUAGUAAGAAAAAUGCUACAAAGCACGCCCUUACACACGAAAUGCACACCCUCAGCACUAUGAAAAGUUAAUUUUACCCUCAUAUAAAACAAGCCCUUUUCACAUCAGAUGUCCGCAGACAAAAUCAUCCCUUUCACUUUUAGAGCUCACCCAUGAAAAACUUCUUCCGAAGGGGAGAGAAAACAAGAGAAAUGUUUUCUUUUAGAUUUCUGGUAUUUUCUUUUGAUUUUCAGAUUUGCUUUCAGAUUUGUCGUAUUUUCUUCCGAAGAUGAAAAAAAACAAGAACAAGAGCCACUUUCAGAUGUCCAUGGGCAGACCGAAGAGAGAGAGAGAGAGAGAGAGAGAGAGAGAGAGAGGUGAUUACCUUCUCUUCAAGAGAAUCUCUUGGACGCGUAAAAUGCUGCGAGAGGAUAGACAAAUCGUUGGUGAACUUGGGCGGCAGGCAGGAUGAAAGAGCGAUACUAAGGGAGAAAAGCAAAAAGUCAUA